rnacentral:rRNA from 1 species
GUGAGGAAUUUUCCGCAAUGGACGCAAGUCUGACGGAGCAACGCCGCGUGCAGGAGGACGCUUUUCGGAGUGUAAACUGCUUUUCUGUGGGAAGAGAACGGACGGUACCACAGGAAGAAGCCCCGGCUAACUACGUGCCAGCAGCCGCGGUAAUACGUAGGGGGCGAGCGUUGUCCGGAGUUACUGGGCGUAAAGGGCAUGCAGGCGGUCAGGCGCGUUUCGGGUGACAGCGGGUGGCUUAACUACCCGAGUGUUCGAAAGACGGCGUGACUUGAGGGCGAGAGAGGGACACGGAAUUCCGGGUGGAGUGGUGAAAUGCGUAGAGAUCCGGAGGAACACCGAAGGCGAAGGCAGUGUCCUGGCUCGCGACUGACGCUGAGGUGCGAAAGCUAGGGGAGCGAACGGGAUUAGAAACCCUUGUAGUCC